rnacentral:tRNA from 2 species
GCGGCGAUGGUCCAGUGGCUAAGACCCCGGCCUUCCAAGCCGGUGACCCGGGUUCAAAUCCCGGUCGCCGCA